rnacentral:rRNA from 1 species
UACGUAGGGUGCAAGCGUUGCUCGGAAUCACCGGGCGUAAAGGGUGCGUAGGCGGCCGUGCAAGUCUGGCGUGAAAGCCCCGGGCUCAGCCCGGGAAGUGCGCUCGAAACUGCGCGGCUCGAGUGCCGGAGGGGAGAGUGGAAUUCCUGGUGUAGCGGUGAAAUGCGUAGAUAUCAGGAGGAAUACCGGUGGCGAAAGCGACUCUCUGGACGGCAACUGACGCUGAGGCACGAAAGCGUGGGGAGCAAACAGG